rnacentral:lncRNA from 10 species
AGCGAGACUCCAUCUCAAAAAAAAAAAGUUCCAACUCUGUCCCUGUACUAGCUGGGUGACCUGGGGUGAAGUGCUUAAUCUUUUGGCAUUUGUUUCUUCAUCUGUAAAAAUGAAAUAACACAUAAUCUGUAGAGUUGGUGCGAAGUUUGAAUGAGACAGAAUAGCAAAAAGUAGUAAACUAGGCCAGGCAUGGUGGCUCACGCCUGUAAUCCCAGGACUUUGGGAGGCCAAAGAGGGAGGACUUCUUGAGCCCAGGAGUUCAGCCUGGGCAAGCAUGGCGAAACCCCAUCUCUACUAAAAAUACAAAAAAAAAUAGCCAGGCAUGGUGGCACACGCUUGUGGUCCCAGCUACUCAGGAGGCUGAAGUGGGAGGAUUGCUUGAGCCUGGGAGGUAGAGGUUGCAAUGAGCUGAGAUCACACAGCUACACUCCAGCGUGGGUGAGAGUGAGACCCUGUCUCAAAAAAAAUAAAAUAAGGCUGGGCAUGGUGGCUGAUGCCCGUAAUCGCAGCACUUUGGGAGGCUGAGGUGGGCGGAUCACAUGAGGUCAGGAGUUCGACACCAGCCUGUCCAAUGUGACGAAACCCUGUCUCUACUAAAAAUACAAAAAUUAGCUGAGCAUAGCGGUGUGCGCUUGUAAUCCCAGCUACUUGGGAAGCUGAGACAGGAGAAUCACCUGAACCAAGGAGGCAGAGGUUGCAGUGAGCCAAUAUCACACCACUGCACUCCAGCCUGGACAGCAGAGCAAGACCCUGUCUCAAAAUAAUAAUUAUAAUAAAUUAAAUAAUAGUAAACUGUAUGCCUCAGCUUAGUAUCUCCAAGGUGGAAAUCAUACAGGACCUACCUUCAGCACUCCUGUCCCUCCCUCUUUGUUUAUCUUUUUUAUUUCCCGCUUCCAUUCCCCUGUAUUUUUCCCUCCUCCUUGCCUAAGCUGUGGGCCUGCACUUGGCACCCUUGGACACGACCUCCCCUUCCUAGUGAUACUCAGACUAAAGAAGUCACUGACUAUUGUUUGGGAACCAUGUCAUGAUACCUAGUGUCAACGUUCCAUAAACACCCAGUAAACAUAAGUGUGGUCUAAGGGAAGCCACACAUCGAAAUUCCUGUCUUGGAAUUUGGACAAUGGCAAGAUGCAGCCACAUUCUUUACAAGCGUGGAGGCGUUCGUGAGGCUCUGCCCUGGGACUGGCAGGGAAUGAACUGGCUUGGGACUAACAUAAGUGGAGCAGCUAUGUGAAGAGCCACGGGAACCGCUACCUGUGAUGGCAGGUGGGCAGCAGCCACUAUUGACACUGUGUAAUGAAAAGAGCAAAUGUGUGCGGCUCGGUGGCAGCACAACUAAGGACAGGGCUCAGUGAUGGAAAAGAGGCAUGAAGACAAGGGGCUCCCAGCAAGUGAGGCAGCGAUGAGUUGGAAUGAAGGCUGGAGGGUCGCAGGGAAGCUGGAAAGUGAGUUGGGUGGGGACUGUCUGCAGAGGGGAUCUUGGCUCGAGUUUGUCAUCUCAAGGAGCAGCUAUGGGGCUUUUUGAGGCAUGGUAAUUAGAUGAGACAACCCUGGCAGGGCAUGACUGGCAACGUGGGUGGCCCUGUAUGGUCCCCCAGGGGUUCCCAGUCCCCACAGCUUCCCGACUCCCUGGCCCCAGCCAUUCCUCAAGCUCCCAGCAGCUCAGGAACUUGCGUCAGCAGCUCAGGUCAUGACACCAAGAUCAGGCUUGGAAAGGGGGAGGUGGAGGGAGGGGAGUUUUUGGCCCGGAAAUGGCUGGGAAGACUUCCUUUGCUGGGAUUAACUGUUGUCCGUGAAGCUGGUGGCAUUCAGCAGGGCACAGGGUGUUCUGGGGAGUGAAGUAUGUGGGGGAAAGGGGUGUCCAUACCUUCACCCCUGCCUCCCUCUCAGAGCUGCACUCCAGCUGUGGUGAAAGAGUGGAUCUUUAGGCAGAUACAGAUACAGAGAUUCCCCCCACCCCACCCCACCAAAGGCUUUCAGGACCUCUAGGUUCAUUCGUGUGUGGGGAUGGAGUAAGGAGGUUGCUCAUGCUUGCCAGCCAAGUGUAUGUAGGCUGAGCUGGGGUGAUUUUCUUUUUCUUUUUUUUGUUGAGUUAGGGUCUCACUGUAUUCCCCAGGCUGGUCUGAAACUCCUGGGCUCAAGCGAUCCUCCUGCCUCAGCCUCCCAAGUAGCUGGGACUACAGGUGCACACCACUGCACCUGCCUGGCUGGGGGUUGCCUCGUUAGGGUCCCCAGGCCCGGAAGGUCGCGUGCUUGCUAUUGCUGCCCCGCAGACCCCCAUGGCCUGCUGGAGCUAGGGGGCGCCAGAAGCCUUACUUCUGUGUCUCUGGCCGAUGAACAAGAGAGCCUGGAUACUGCUGCAGAGCAGAGGCUGUUCCGGAGAGCAGGGCUGGAAGGUGGUGGGGCGGGGUGAAGUCCUGACUAGAGGCUGGGAGCUUCUGGGUGGGCAGGGUCUGCCAGGGCAGGAGCCUGUGUGAGUGCAGCUUCCUUUCUGCCCGCCCCUAGCUUAAGGCCAGAGAGUAGGCAGCUUGUUUUCAAGAAUCCCAAUGGCUUUCUUCCUCCCACUCCCUAAAUCUUCUUGCCCACCCUCUAACCAUGCCCAGGGCCUCUCGCUGUGAGGUGGCAAGUAGCCCGAGAAGCAGAUGGUAGCCCAGGCCUUGCAGUCCCCGCUCCAGCACACCCCUCCCGUCCUCUCGCCAGGAGGCUGCCUGGCUUUGUGGUCCGGAGCAAGUCACUUCUCGACGGGCUUCACUUUGCCCAUCUGAAGUCUGAGGUUGUUAGGCGUGUUUUCUAAUGGCCUGCCCAGCUCUGACAUUUUUGGAUCCUAUGUAAAGGGAACCCUCCUUUCCACCCUCAUUCCCAGUCCAGAGUGAGGAGAUUGGGUAAAUUCCCAGAGCCCUGGCACUCCCGUGGAGCACUCAGGAAACGCUCCUUCACCCCUCAAUUCUGCUCUCACACACCCCGUCACACAUAGACUCACAUACACCAAGCAGAGAGGAGCAAAGAGAAGGACCAUGUAAGACAAUCACGGACAUGGCGUUAGAAGGAAACUGAGAAACGCUCUACAAGAGUUCGAUGUAUUACAUUAUUUUUAAUUUAGAUGAAAUUCACAUAACACAAAAUUUACCAUUUUAAAGUGUACGUACACUUCAGUGGCUUUUCAUAUAUUCACAGUGUUGUGCAACCACUACCCCUAUCUAGUUCAAAAAUAUUUUCAGUUCUCCCCUCCUCCAGCAUCUGGGAAGCAUCCAUUCACCUUCCAGCUCUGUGGCUUUGCAGGUUCUAGACAUUUCAUGUAAAUGCAGUCAUAUAAUAUGUGGCUUUUUGUGUCUGGCUUUUUUCAUUUAGCAUAAUGUUUUCAAGGUUUAUCCAUGUUGUAACAUGUAUUCUUUUAAAAAAAAUUUUAAUGUGUAAAAUAUACAUAUCAUAACAUUUACCUUUUAAUCAUUCAUAAGUACACAAAUCAGUGGCAUGAGGUGGUCCCUUCCCAAUGUUGUGCUGUCAUCACCACUGUCUGUUUUCAGAACUUUGUCAUCAUCAUCCCCAACAGAAACCCUGUACCCAUUAAACAGUAACUCCCGGCCAGACGCGGUGGCUCACGCCUGUAAUCCCAGUAAUUCCAGCACUUUGGGAGGCCGAGGUGGGCGGAUCACAAGGUCAGGAG